UCGGUUAUAGCUCCGAUUGGGUGCCACCAUCGAGAGCAACGAUUUGCUCCGAUCAUUUCGCCCCUGAAUGCUACGGAAGCAACGCGGAACUAGAAGCGCAAUUUGGAGUCUCCAGACGAAGGUAUCUCAACCGGGAUGCUGUGCCGACGAUAUCUGCAGCUGCAAAUUGCGGAGGCAGGAAAAGACAGCGCAUGGAGACACAAGCUGAAGGUGGGAGUGAAGCUGGAAUGCCUCCUUUGCAGAAAGAAAGUGACGUUCAGACCACAACAGGCACCCUGGCACCGAUGGAAAAUUUGCCAUCCACAUCUGAAAUUCGUCCUCCUGUACUUCACUCUGGAGAGUACUGCCACCACUGUGGUCAGCUGCUCCCUCCAAGUUUGUCUACUUUGCCUUACA